GCACAAGCGGUGGAGCAUGUGGUUUAAUUCGACGCAACGCGAAGAACCUUACCUGGGCUCGAAAUGUAGUGGAAUCCGGCAGAAACGUCGGCGUCUAGCAAUAGACCGCUAUAUAGGUGCUGCAUGGCUGUCGUCAGCUCGUGUCGUGAGAUGUUGGGUUAAGUCCCGCAACGAGCGCAACCCCCGUCCUUAGUUGCUACCAUUUAGUUGAGCACUCUAAGGAGACUGCCGGUGAUAAGCCGCGAGGAAGGUGGGGAUGACGUCAAGUCCUCAUGGCCCUUACGGGCUGGGCUACACACGUGCUACAAUGGCGGUGACAAUGGGACGCUAAGGGGCAACCCUUCGCAAAUCUCAAAAAGCCGUCUCAGUUCGGAUUGGGCUCUGCAACUCGAGCCCAUGAAGUUGGAAUCGCUAGUAAUCGUGGAUCAGCACGCCACGGUGAAUACGUUCCCGGGC
rnacentral:rRNA from 1 species